UACGUAGGGUGCAAGCGUUAAUCGGAAUUACUGGGCGUAAAGCGUGCGCAGGCGGCUUUGCAAGACAGAUGUGAAAUCCCCGGGCUUAACCUGGGAAUUGCAUUUGUGACUGCACGGCUAGAGUGUGUCAGAGGGGGGUAGAAUUCCACGUGUAGCAGUGAAAUGCGUAGAGAUGUGGAGGAAUACCGAUGGCGAAGGCAGCCCCCUGGGAUAACACUGACGCUCAUGCACGAAAGCGUGGGGAGCAAACAGG
rnacentral:rRNA from 1 species